AGCUCUCAUGAUGAGGCCAAGGCGUUGAUGAGAUCGGAGAGGAAGAACUUUGUGACAGGCCAGUCAUCGAAUCCGUCGUUGUUGAAUUUGCGGAGGUUUUUCAAAUCCAUAAAAACGUAAACAAAUCUUUAAAACGUGUCUUCAUCAGAAACCCUAACAAGAACCAAAAUCAUUCAAAAACAAAAAGUAAGUAAACGAAUUAAGAAACCUUCACACUAUAGAAAUCACUGAUGUAAAAGAGGGCUUGCGAUUAGAAACCCUAAUUUCUAACAACAAAGGUAAAAUCUUUGACGAACACAACGAUAAAAAAAAAAAAAAAAAGUGAUUUUGGUUUCACGAAAUAGAAAAACGCAAAUACGAAACUGCAAAACCAACAUGAAAUUUUGAAAUUAAAAAGAGUUUUAUCGAUUUGCUUUGAUAAAACAAAGUAAAAUCGAAAUUUGGAAAUCUAAGAAAAACACAAAAUCACGCAAUCAAAAGAGAGCUCUGGAUCUGAAAUAAACAUAAAAUCGAAAGAAACCCUAAAAAUUCAAAACCUGGCGAUGGCGAUGACGAUCUCCGGAGAAAAUCAAUAACGCUCCACGGGAGAAAAAAAAAAAAAAAUUAGGCGAAAGAGGCCACUAGCGUCAUUUCUAAUGGCCGUUGUGAAUUAGAGAAAAGGAGGAGGUCUCGUUUUAUUAUUAUGUUGGGCCUUAAACGAUCAUUAGCCCAUAUCUCUUCAUUGUAGUUUUUUUUUAUAACUGGGCUUAAACGAACAAUUUGGUUUAUUCACU
rnacentral:lncRNA from 1 species